rnacentral:rRNA from 1 species
UGCCAGACUCCUACGGGAGGCAGCAGUGGGGAAUAUUGCACAAUGGGGGAAACCCUGAUGCAGCGACGCCGCGUGAGUGAAGAAGUAUUUCGGUAUGUAAAGCUCUAUCAGCAGGGAAGAAAAUGACGGUACCUGACUAAGAAGCCCCGGCUAACUACGUGCCAGCAGCCGCGGUAAUACGUAGGGGGCAAGCGUUAUCCGGAUUUACUGGGUGUAAAGGGAGCGUAGACGGCAUGGCAAGUCAGAUGUGAAAGCCCGGGGCUCAACCCCGGGACUGCUCUUGGAACUGCGUGGCUGGAGUGCAGGAGGGGCAGGCGGAAUUCCUGGUGUAGCGGUGAAAUGCGUAGAUAUCAGGAGGAACACCGGUGGCGAGGGCGGCCUGCUGGACUGCAACUGACGUUGAGGCCCGAAAGCGUGGGGAGCAAACAGGAUUAGAUACCCCGGUAA